rnacentral:rRNA from 1 species
UACGAAGGGGGCUAGCGUUGUUCGGAAUCACUGGGCGUAAAGCGCACGUAGGCGGAUUGUUAAGUCGGGGGUGAAAUCCUGAGGCUCAACCUCAGAACUGCCUUCGAUACUGGCAAUCUCGAGUCCGGAAGAGGUUGGUGGAACAGCUAGUGUAGAGGUGAAAUUCGUAGAUAUUAGCUAGAACACCAGUGGCGAAGGCGGCCAACUGGUCCGGUACUGA